AAUCACUCUCCAUCUCUCAUUCACUAUCAUCUUUUUUUGAAGACCUCUCAAAGUGUUCUCUCCAUUUUUCAAGCCCAAGAACACCAAGGAAACUUUGAGGCUAAGUCUUGGUCUAGGAAGUAUUUUCCCUAAGUUUGUUAGGGUUUUUGAAAUAUUUUGAAGGAGUCAAUGCUUAUAGGAAGGUCCAAGCCUUAAGCAAGAACACCAAAGAGGGAUAACUACAGUAUUGGCUAAGCGUAACUGGACUGAACGUUGGAGGGUGAAAACCUGCUGAGCGCUAAGGACUCCAAGUAAGAACAAGGGCAAGGCAGAGCAGUGAGCGCUAGAGUCUUCCUUGCAAAUGUACAUGUGGACCGACCUUUUGGGAAGCCUUUUUAUUUUUGGAAAUGUUGUGUAAUUUUCCUAAACUAGGCUCACUCUAAUCAUUAUAAAACAUGUUUGUAACUAAAUGUUAAGUAUGGCCAUACGACUUUUUAAAAUUUUUUUUUUUCUAUGGGUUUUUGAGACACUUUGUUAAAUGAAAACAUUUAUAUUUCCGCAUUAUUGAGUCUUGAAAAUCCGGGUCGUUACAAGGCCGAUCCCCCAUAUAGCAAAGGGCCAAGGGCUUUGCAUCUGUGUUAAUUCGUUAGGUUCUGCCUGGGGUAUCUUGGAGAACAUCUGGCACUUGUGGCAUCUUCUUACAUACUCCAUCGAGUCUUCAUUCAUCGUCAGCCAGAAGUAUCCUUGUCUUAG